rnacentral:rRNA from 1 species
CCUACGGGGGGCAGCAGUGGGGGAUAUUGCACAAUGGGCGCAAGCCUGAUGCAGCCAUGCCGCGUGUGUGAAGAAGGCCUUCGGGUUGUAAAGCACUUUCAGCGGGGAGGAAGGCGGUGAGGUUAAUAACCUCAUCGAUUGACGUUACCCGCAGAAGAAGCACCGGCUAACUCCGUGCCAGCAGCCGCGGUAAUACGGAGGGUGCAAGCGUUAAUCGGAAUUACUGGGCGUAAAGCGCACGCAGGCGGUCUGUCAAGUCGGAUGUGAAGUCCCCGGGCUCAACCUGGGAACUGCAUUCGAAACUGGCAGGCUAGAGUCUUGUAGAGGGGGGUAGAAUUCCAGGUGUAGCGGUGAAAUGCGUAGAGAUCUGGAGGAAUACCGGUGGCGAAGGCGGCCCCCUGGACAAAGACUGACGCUCAGGUGCGAAAGCGUGGGGAGCAAACAGGAUUAGAUACCCCAGUAGUC